UACGUAGGGUGCAAGCGUUAAUCGGAAUUACUGGGCGUAAAGCGUGCGCAGGCGGUUUUGUAAGUCAGAUGUGAAAUCCCCGGGCUUAACCUGGGAACUGCGUUUGAAACUACAAGGCUAGAGUGUGACAGAGGGGGGUGGAAUUCCGCGUGUAGCAGUGAAAUGCGUAGAGAUGUGGAGGAACACCGAUGGCGAAGGCAGCCCCCUGGGUUAACACUGACGCUCAGGCACGAAAGCGUGGGGAGCAAACAGG
rnacentral:rRNA from 1 species